rnacentral:ncRNA from 2 species
UUUCCCUUCCAUCGACACGGUGCUCUAAGGCGUCGAGGGAAGUCCGGUGUAAAUCCGGCGCGGUCCCGCCACUGUGAUGGCGACGAAAGCCGCAAGUGACAGCCACUGUCCUGAGCGAAGACGAAGGAUGGGAAGGCGCGGCGAGUAGGACAAAGCCUAAGCCAGGAGACCUGCCUAGAGCCAAUAAGCCGG